GGGUGAUCCUGGGGUUGCCAAAAGUCAGCUUCUGAAGCACAUAAUAAAUGUAGCGCCUAGAGGAGUGUAUACUACUGGCAGAGGAAGCAGUGGAGUUGGUCUUACUGCUGCUGUUCAGAAGGAUCCGGUUACAAAUGAGAUGGUCUUAGAAGGGGGAGCUUUGGUUCUAGCUGAUAUGGGUAUAUGUGCUAUUGAUGAGUUUGACAAGAUGGAUGAAUUAGAUCGUACAGCAAUUCAUGAAGUCAUGGAGCAGCAGACUGUAAGCAUUGCAAAAGCUGGGAUUACCACAUCUCUGAAUGCAAGAACGGCUGUUCUUGCCGCUGCUAAGACCAUCUCAUUUGUAAC
rnacentral:misc_RNA from 1 species